UUGGUUUGGCCAAAAAGUUUGUUUGGGUUUUCCCAUACCAUCUUGCAGGAAAACCCAAACUUUUUGGCCAAACCA
rnacentral:miRNA from 1 species